CCUACGGGUGGCAGCAGUGGGGAAUAUUGCGCAAUGGGCGAAAGCCUGACGCAGCGACGCCGCGUGAGGGAUGAAGGUCUUCGGAUCGUAAACCUCUGUCAGCAGGGAAGAACGGUCACUGUGCUAAUCAGCAGUGAAUUGACGGUACCUGCAACGGAAGCACCGGCUAACUCCGUGCCAGCAGCCGCGGUAAUACGGAGGGUGCGAGCGUUAAUCGGAAUUACUGGGCGUAAAGCGCUCGUAGGCGGUAUGUCAAGUCAAGGGUGAAAUCCCCGCGCUCAAUGUGGGAACUGAGUUUGAAACUGGCAAACUGGAGUGUGUGAGAGGAUAGUGGAAUUCCAGGGGUAGGAGUGAAAGCCGUAGAUAUCUGGAGGAACAUCAGUGGCGAAGGCGACUAUCUGGCACAUAACUGACGCUGAGGAGCGAAAGCGUGGGUAGCAAACAGGAUUAGAUACCCCAGUAGUC
rnacentral:rRNA from 1 species